rnacentral:rRNA from 1 species
UACGUAGGGGUCGAGCGUUGUCCGGAGUUACUGGGCGUAAAGCGUGCGCAGGCGGCUCAUUGCGCCCGGCGUGAAAGCCCCCGGCUCAACCGGGGAGGGUCGUCGGGGACGGGUGAGCUUGAGGGUAUCAGGGGUUGGUGGAAUUCCCGGUGUAGUGGUGAAAUGCGUAGAGAUCGGAAGGAACAUCCGUGGCGAAGGCGGCCACCUGGACUGAAACUGACGCUGAGGCGCGAAAGCGUGGGGAGCAAACAGG